CAGCAGCCGCGGUAAUACAGAGGGUGCGAGCGUUAAUCGGAUUUACUGGGCGUAAAGCGUGCGUAGGCGGCUAAUUGAGUCGGAUGUGAAAUCCCCGAGCUUAACUUGGGAAUUGCAUUCGAUACUGGUUAGCUAGAGUGUGGGAGAGGAUGGUAGAAUUCCAGGUGUAGCGGUGAAAUGCGUAGAGAUCUGGAGGAAUACCGAUGGCGAAGGCAGCCAUCUGGCCUAACACUGACGCUGAGGUACGAAAGCAUGGGGAGCAAACAGGAUUAGAUACCCCUGUAGUCCCUGUCUCUUAUAU
rnacentral:rRNA from 1 species